ACUCAUUUCUUUUGGUGCCUUUGUGGCCAAACACUUAAAGAGCAUAAACCAAGAAAGUUGCAUUGAACCAUUAGCAGAAAGUAUCACAGAUCCUUGUAAGGCCGAAAUGGGACUCGCUUGUCAAACAAAGAGGCUGGGAUGGGUUUGUGGAGUUCUUCCACGCACAGGACCUAGAAGGCGGCAUCAGAAAUACGCUGCUGGCUUUUGUGGGUGUUACUGGAGUAGGGGCUGUUCUGGCACAUCUGAAAAG
rnacentral:lncRNA from 1 species